GAUGAACGCUGGCGGCGUGCUUAACACAUGCAAGUCGAACGGUGAAGCAGGAGCUUGCUCUUGUGGAUCAGUGGCGAACGGGUGAGUAACACGUGAGCAACCUGCCCCUGACUCUGGGAUAAGCGCUGGAAACGGCGUCUAAUACUGGAUAUGUGAUGUGACCGCAUGGUCUGCAUCUGGAAAGAAUUUCGGUUGGGGAUGGGCUCGCGGCCUAUCAGCUUGUUGGUGAGGUAAUGGCUCACCAAGGCGUCGACGGGUAGCCGGCCUGAGAGGGUGACCUGCCACACUGGGACUGAGACACGGCGCAGACUCCUACGGGAGGCAGCAGUGGGGAAUAUUGCACAAUGGGCGGAGGCCUGAUGCAGCAACGCCGCGUGAGGGAUGACGGCCUUCGGGUUGUAAACCUCUUUUAGCAGGGAAGAAGCGAAAGUGACGGUACCUGCAGAAAAAGCACCGGCUAACUACGUGCCAGCCGCCGCCGUAA
rnacentral:rRNA from 1 species